rnacentral:rRNA from 1 species
UACGAAGGGGGCUAGCGUUGCUCGGAAUUACUGGGCGUAAAGCGCACGUAGGCGGCUUUCUAAGUCGGGGGUGAAAUCCUGGAGCUCAACUCCAGAACUGCCUUCGAUACUGGAGAGCUUGAGUACGGGAGGGGUGAGUGGAAUUCCCAGUGUAGAGGUGAAAUUCGUAGAUAUUGGGAAGAACACCGGUGGCGAAGGCGGCUCACUGGCCCGUAACUGACGCUCAUGCACGACAGCGUGGGGAUCAAUCAGG